rnacentral:tRNA from 6 species
GCCCUUGUAGCUCAGCAGGUAGAGCACCACCAUGGUAAGGUGGGGGUCUCCGGUUCGAAUCCGGACAAGGGCUCCA